ensembl:lncRNA
UGUAAAUUUGGAGAUUCUGAUAAAAUAACUCAUACACCCCUCUCCUUCAACAUUUAUGAAUGUUUUAUUUUUUUUGUAAUUCUUGGUCUUUAUUUUUUCCAGAUAAUUCCGACAGGAAACCAGAACUGUUUGCAAUGAGUCCCCUGCUUCCUCCCAACUCCAAUUUAAAGACAAGUGAGGACUUUCCGGACGUCUGUUUGGCCUCCGAUUUCCGACCCAACGCCAACGCCGGAACGCAUGGUUAUGAGAUACUCUUUGCUGCCUUCAGCAACGAAACCAUGGACUACUGCUCGGCGAACGACGCCUUCAGCAACCACAGGAACGUUGACAUCUGCGAGAACAUUCAUCCAGGUAACGCCACGGUUAACUUUUACCUGCUGAUCAUGAAUGCAGUGAGAGUGGUCCUCACCAAGGUGAUGGUCAUCAGCACUCUCCUGACCAUCAAAGCCCUGGUUCAUUGAUGCAUCUUACUGAGGCAGCGAUGGUGUAGCAGGGGUGUCCAAAUCCAGGACCUCGAGGGCCGGCCUCCUUCUAGUUCUCCAGAAAUCCUGCCUCAUCUGAUCACCUGGAUCAGGUGUGAUUAGCCAAUAAGGGGCUUCAAUGGCAGGUUGGUUGGAAAACAUGUGGGACACUGUCCAGGGGCGGACUUACCAUUAGGCAAUGGUAGGCACAUGCCUGGGGGCCCCAAAACUUUGGGGGCUGCUAGCUGAAGACUUUUUAUAUUAUAUUUUUAAUGGUCAUCAUUAUUUGACUCUGUCACAAUAAAAGGAAAACAUCCCUGAGAUGGUAUAAGACGGCUCAUGUCUAAGUCUUUGAUCCUCCCCCAUAAUUCUGCAGCAGUGGAAUACUCCACCAAGAGCAAUUUAGCUAGCAGAGAGAGACUGUUCAAAGACUUUGAAUAAAUAAAAGAAAAAAUUCAGUCAUGAACCAGCUGUGAAAAAAGGAAAUGGCACAGAGAAAGCAAAACAAUGUGUUGCCACACCUCCAGAAGUGCCAGGAGAAAGAAAGGAACUCAAAGAAAAAGUGUUAUUUUGUUCCAUCAUUCAAAUACUUUAAGGUCUUUUGGCUUCUUCAGUAACGUCUGGCAAAUUAAAGAAAUUACAUACGUUACUGACAUUUUACCCUGGGGAAAUUACUAUAAUCAAAAUACAACCAUUUCAGAGGGCUUUGUUGGAUUGUUCGACCAGGACCCUCAAAAGUCCACCUCUUACACUGGCCCUCGAGGCCUGGAUUUUGACACUCCUGGUGAAGAGGCGGUUGGUUUCUGAUCAAAGUGUUGCAGGUUUAAUUGCUGCCGUCCUGCCCAGGUGCAAGACACUGAAAGUCACAUGGGUUGGUCUCCAUCAGUGUUGUAAAUAUGUGGGUUAAUGGGCUUGUGUCUGUAAAGCACUCUGAGUCUGAGUCAAGGUAGAAAAGUGCUACACAAUUACACACCAUUACCAUCUACUUCCUGCCAAAAAAACAUUUUAAAGCCUCUUUUUAAUAGUAAUUAUGAGUAGAAUGUUUUAGAACAGUUUCUGAAAUGUUUCUUUCUUUGCUUGAUUUUGAUUAAUUUGUUUUAUGAGUCUUUGAAUCAGUGUUUAAUUGCAUCUACAUGUUUUUGUGUUUCAUUCUGACAAGUACUCUAUGACAAUAAAGUGUUUUUUAAUGGAUU